AUUAGUUUUUAGAUUUUUAAUCUAUUAAUUCAAUCCCGGGGCGUUCUAUAUAGUUAUGUAUAAUAAUAUUUAUAUUAUUUAUACCUCUAACUAGAGCGUACCUUGAGCAUAUAUGCUGUGACCCGAAAGAUGGUGAACUAUACUUGAUCAGGUUGAAGUCAGGGGAAACCCUGAUGGAAGACCGAAACAGUUCUGACGUGCAAAUCGAUUGUCAGAAUUGAGUAUAGGGGCGAAAGACCAAUCGAACCAUCUAGUAGCUGGUUCCCUCCGAAGUUUCCCUCAGGAUAGCUGGUGCAUUUAAAUAUUAUGUAAAAUAAUCUUAUCUGGUAAAGCGAAUGAUUAGAGGCCUUAGGGUCGAAACGACCUUAACCUAUUCUCAAACUUUAAAUGGGUAAGAACCUCACCUUUCUUGGUAUGAAGGUUGUGGUUGUGAUAUAAUGUGCCCAGUGGGCCACUUUUGGUAAGCAGAACUGGCGCUGUGGGAUGAACCAAACGUAAUGUUACGGUGCCCAAAUUAACAACUCAUGCAGAUACCAUGAAAGGCGUUGGUUGCUUAAAACAGCA
rnacentral:rRNA from 1 species